rnacentral:rRNA from 1 species
GAUGAACGCUGGCGGCGUGCCUAAUACAUGCAAGUCGAGCGAAUGGAUUAAGAGCUUGCUCUUAUGAAGUUAGCGGCGGACGGGUGAGUAACACGUGGGUAACCUGCCCAUAAGACUGGGAUAACUCCGGGAAACCGGGGCUAAUACCGGAUAACAUUUUGAACCGCAUGGUUCGAAAUUGAAAGGCGGCUUCGGCUGUCACUUAUGGAUGGACCCGCGUCGCAUUAGCUAGUUGGUGAGGUAACGGCUCACCAAGGCAACGAUGCGUAGCCGACCUGAGAGGGUGAUCGGCCCCACUGGGACUGAGACACCGCCCAGACUCCUACGGGAGGCAGCAGUAGGGAAUCUUCCGCAAUGGACGAAAGUCUGACGGAGCAACGCCGCGUGAGUGAUGAAGGCUUUCGGGUCGUAAAACUCUGUUGUUAGGGAAGAACAAGUGCUAGUUGAAUAAGCUGGCACCUUGACGGUACCUAACCAGAAAGCCACGGCUAACUACGUGCCAGCAGCCGCAGUAA